GGAGAGGUGCCAGAGUGGCCGAUCGGGCCUGACUCGAAAUCAGGUGUACGCGUGAGCGUACCGUGGGUUCGAAUCCCACCCUCUCCGCCA
rnacentral:tRNA from 1 species